UACGAAGGGGACUAGCGUUGUCCGGAAUCACUGGGCGUAAAGCGCACGUAGGCGGAUUCGUAAGUCAGGGGUGAAAUCCCGGGGCUCAACCUCGGAACUGCCUUUGAUACUGCGGGUCUUGAGUCCGAUAGAGGUGGGUGGAAUUCCUAGUGUAGAGGUGAAAUUCGUAGAUAUUAGGAAGAACACCGGUGGCGAAGGCGGCCCACUGGAUCGGUACUGACGCUGAGGUGCGAAAGCGUGGGGAGCAAACAGG
rnacentral:rRNA from 1 species